rnacentral:rRNA from 1 species
UGCCAGCAGCCGCGGUAAUACGGAGGGUCCGAGCGUUAAUCGGAAUUACUGGGCGUAAAGCGUGCGCAGGCGGUUUGUUAAGCGAGAUGUGAAAGCCCUGGGCUCAACCUAGGAAUAGCAUUUCGAACUGGCGAACUAGAGUCUUGUAGAGGGGGGUAGAAUUCCAGGUGUAGCGGUGAAAUGCGUAGAGAUCUGGAGGAAUACCGGUGGCGAAGGCGGCCCCCUGGACAAAGACUGACGCUCAUGCACGAAAGCGUGGGGAGCAAACAGGAUUAGAUA